GGCCGGUUAGCUCAGCUGGUUAGAGCGUGGUGCUAAUAACGCCAAGGUCGCGGGUUCUAUCCCCGUACUGGCCA
rfam:Danio rerio chromosome 4, GRCz11 reference primary assembly.